ensembl:misc_RNA Metazoa_SRP Metazoan signal recognition particle RNA
GCUGGGCAUGGUGGUGUGUGCCUGUAAUCCCAGGUACUCAGGAGGCUGAGGCAGGAGAAUUGCUUGAACCCGGGAGGCUGAGGUUGCAGUGAGCUGAAAUCGUGCCACUGCACUCCAGCCUAGGCGACAGAGCGAGACUCUGUCUCAA